rnacentral:lncRNA from 13 species
GUUCUCCUUGGGCUGUGGUGCAUUCUGCCCUGGAGAUGUUUCAGACAGAUGAUGAGGAAGCAGAUUCAGGAGAGGAGAGGAUGAUUAGGAUGGAAUGCAGUGGCCUGAUCCUGGCUCAUGGCAACCUCUGCUUCCCAGAUACAAGGCAUUCUCCUGCCUCAGCCUCCUGGGUAGCUUCAUCACAGGUGGACCAGCAGAGAAGCCAGAAGCCUAGGGGAAAGAGAAUUCCACAGGUUGGAGAGGGCAAGAAUAACAUAGUCAAAGCGUGCAAAGAGGAAAGGGAAGAUGGAGAAUUUGCAAAAGCUGUUGAUGUUGAGUACAGUAAGUUUCGGGUGACUUUUAAAUGUGCAGUUUUAGUGAUACUUUACUAAAUGUUCAAGGACAAACUCUCUUUUUUUUCCUAAAGAAAUUGCCUUGGUUAGAGAAAGAGAAAGAGGAGGCUCCAAUAAACUCAAUCAAAUUUAAUGCCUUUAAUCUGGG